AACGAACGCUGGCGGCAGGCCUAACACAUGCAAGUCGAACGCUCCGCAAGGGGGAGUGGCGCACGGGUGAGUAACACGUGGGAACCUACCUUCUGGUACGGAACAACCAAGGGAAACUUUGGCUAAGACCGUAUACGACCUCCGGGUGAAAGAUUGAUCGCCGGAAGAGGGGCCCGCGUCCGAUUAGGUAGUUGGUGAGGUAACGGCUCACCAAGCCUUCGAUCGGUAGCUGGUCUGAGAGGAUGACCAGCCACACCGGGGACUGAGACACGGCCCAGACUCCUACGGGAGGCAGCAGUGGGGAAUAUUGGACAAUGGGCGCAAGCCUGAUCCAGCCAUGCCGCGUGAGUGAUGAAGGCCUUCGGUU
rnacentral:rRNA from 1 species